rnacentral:rRNA from 1 species
CUGGUUGAUCCUGCCAGUAGUCAUAUGCUUGUCUCAAAGAUUAAGCCAUGCAUGUCUAAGCACAUGCCUUAAUACGGUGAAGCCGCGAAUAGCUCAUUACAACAGCCACCGUUUAUUAGAAUAUCGUUUUCCUACUUGGAUAACUGUGGCAAUUCUAGAGCUAAUACAUGCAAAAAAGCUCCGCCCGCAAGGAACGAGCGCAUUUAUUAGAAUAAAAACCAAUCGGGCUUCGGCUCGUGAUUUGGUGAAUCUGAAUAACUUUGCCAAUCGCACGGUCCUAGUACCGGCGAUGUAUCUUUCAAGUGUCUGCCUUAUCAACUUUCGAUGGUAGGUUAUACGCCUACCAUGGUAGUAACGGGUAACGGAGAAUAAGGGUUCGACUCCGGAGAGGGAGCCUGAGAAACGGCUACCACAUCCAAGGAAGGCAGCAGGCGCGCAAAUUACCCACUUCCAGAACGGAGAGGUAGUGACGAAAAAUAACGAGACAGUCCUCUUCGAGGUCUGUCAUCGGAAUGGGUACAAUUUAAAUCCUUUAACGAGGAUCUAUUGGAGGGCAAGUCUGGUGCCAGCAGCCGCGGUAAUUCCAGCUCCAAUAGCGUAUAUUAAAGUUGUUGCGGUUAAAACGCUCGUAGUUGGAUCUGCGGCCAAGGAGGACGGUCCCCCGAAAGGGCGGUCACUGUCCCUCCUAGCCUAAAUUCGAGUCGUCUCUAGGUGCUCUUUACCGAGUGUCUAGAGUGACUAGAACGUUUACUUUGAAAAAAUUAGAGUGCUUAAAGCAGGCGAAAUAGCCUGAAUAAGGUGCAUGGAAUAAUGGAAUAGGACCUCGGUUCUAUUUUGUUGGUUUUCGGAGCCCGAGGUAAUGAUUAAGAGGAACAGGCGGGGGCAUUCGUAUUCCGGCGCUAGAGGUGAAAUUCUUGGACCGCCGGAAGACGGACGACUGCGAAAGCAUUUGCCAAGAAUGUUUUCAUUAAUCAAGAACGAAAGUUAGAGGUUCGAAGGCGAUCAGAUACCGCCCUAGUUCUAACCGUAAACGAUGACAACCAGCGAUUAGUCGGCGUUAAUUAACGACCCGACUAGCAGCUUCCGGGAAACCAAAGUUUUUCGUUUCCGGGGGAAGUAUGGUUGCAAAGCUGAAACUUAAAGGAAUUGACGGAAGGGCACCACCAGGAGUGGAGCCUGCGGCUUAAUUUGACUCAACACGGGAAAACUCACCCGGCCCGGACACCGUAAGGAUUGACAGACUGAGAGCUCUUUCUUAAUUCGGUGGGUGGUGGUGCAUGGCCGUUCUUAGUUGGUGGAGCGAUUUGUCUGGUUAAUUCCGAUAACGAACGAGACUCUGGCCUAUUAAAUAGACGGUAUACCGAAAAGUAUAUCGCGCUUCUUAGAGGGACAAGCGGCGUCCAGCCGCAUGAAAUAGAGCAAUAACAGGUCUGUGAUGCCCUUAGAUGUCCGGGGCUGCACGCGCGCUACACUGAAAGAAUCAGAGUGCGCUGAUACCUAGUCCGGAAGGACCGGGUAACCCAAGUAAAUUCUUUCGUGCUUGGGAUAGGGAAUUGCAAUUAUUUCCCUUAAACGAGGAAUUCCCAGUAAAUGCGGGUCAUAAGCUCGCGUUGAUUACGUCCCUGCCCUUUGUACACACCGCCCGUCGCUACUACCGAUUGGAUGACUUAGUGAGGUCUUAGGACCGAGGUAAAGUUGCCUUCGCGGGUGACUUUGCUUUGGAAAUUUGCUCGAACUACGUUAUCUAGAGGAAGUAAAGUCGUAACAAGUUUCCGUAGGUGAACCUGCAAAGGCGAUUCCAGCACACUGCGCCGUACUAGUGAUCCGGCUCGUACCAGCUGUAUCGCNCCUCCCNNNNNNNUUUUUUUUUUUUUU